GGGGAAUAUUGGACAAUGGGCGAAAGCCUGAUCCAGCCAUGCCGCGUGUGUGAAGAAGGUCUUCGGAUUGUAAAGCACUUUAAGUUGGGAGGAAGGGCUGUUACCUAAUACGUGACAGUUUUGACGUUACCAACAGAAUAAGCACCGGCUAACUUCGUGCCAGCAGCCGCGGUAAUACGAAGGGUGCAAGCGUUAAUCGGAAUUACUGGGCGUAAAGCGCGCGUAGGCGGUUUGAUAAGUUGGAUGUGAAAGCCCCGGGCUCAACCUGGGAAUUGCAUCCAAAACUGUCUGACUAGAGUACGGUAGAGGGUGGUGGAAUUUCCUGUGUAGCGGUGAAAUGCGUAGAUAUAGGAAGGAACAUCAGUGGCGAAGGCGACCACCUGGACUGAGACUGACGCUGAGGUGCGAAAGCGUGGGGAGCAAAC
rnacentral:rRNA from 1 species